AUUGAACGCUGGCGGCAGGCCUAACACAUGCAAGUCGAGCGGCAGCGGGACCUUCGGGUUGCCGGCGAGCGGCGGACGGGUGAGUAAUGCCUAGGAAUCUGCCUGUUAGUGGGGGAUAACGCGGGGAAACUCGCGCUAAUACCGCAUACGUCCUACGGGAGAAAGCGGGGGCUCUUCGGACCUCGCGCUAACAGAUGAGCCUAGGUCGGAUUAGCUAGUUGGUGGGGUAAUGGCCCACCAAGGCGACGAUCCGUAACUGGUCUGAGAGGAUGGUCAGUCACACUGGAACUGAGACACGGUCCAGAAUCCUACGGGAGGCAGCAGUGGGGAAUAUUGGACAAUGGGCGAAAGCCUGAUCCAGCCAUGCCGCGUGUGUGAAGAAGGUCUUCGGAUUGUAAAGCACUUUAAGUCGGGAGGAAGGGCUGUAGGCUAAUACCUUGCAGUUUUGACGUUACCGACAGAAUAAGCACCGGCUAACUUCGUGCCAGCCGCCGCAGUAACAC
rnacentral:rRNA from 1 species